rnacentral:lncRNA from 1 species
UUGGUUUAAAGUUGGCUGUUUUCGAUGAAUAACAAUAACCUACCAAAGACAUUUGCGGCUCCAUCCCAGUUUGCAAACUCUGGGACUGUGGCACAAUCGCAAUCGAUGCCUAUGAACAAUCAACCCCAACUUCUUUCACAGGCACAACCUCAGCCUAUGAACAAUCAACCCCAACUUCUUUCACAGGCACAACCUCAAACACAAGGUGGGCCUCAGUUUCCAGGCCACUUUCAGUUGUCUGAGCCUCAGGCUCAGGUGCUUGCACAGGCACAGUAUGUGCAGGCUCAUGCUCAAGCUCAAGCUCAAGCUGCCCAUUCCCAAUUCCAGGCUCAGGUGCAA